AGUGAACGCUGGCGGUAGGCCUAACACAUGCAAGUCGAACGGCAGCACAGUAAGAGCUUGCUCUUACGGGUGGCGAGUGGCGGACGGGUGAGGAAUACAUCGGAAUCUACUUUUUCGUGGGGGAUAACGUAGGGAAACUUACGCUAAUACCGCAUACGACCUACGGGUGAAAGCAGGGGAUCUUCGGACCUUGCGCGAUUGAAUGAGCCGAUGUCGGAUUAGCUAGUUGGCGGGGUAAAGGCCCACCAAGGCGACGAUCCGUAGCUGGUCUGAGAGGAUGAUCAGCCACACUGGAACUGAGACACGGUCCAGACUCCGACGGGAGGCAGCAGUGGGGAAUAUUGGACAAUGGGCGCAAGCCUGAUCCAGCCAUACCGCGUGGGUGAAGAAGGCCUUCGUGUUGUAAAGCCCUUUUGUUGGGAAAGAAAAGCAGCAGGUUAAUACCCCGCUGUUCUGACGGUACCCAAAGAAUAAGCACCGGCUAACUUCGU
rnacentral:rRNA from 1 species